rnacentral:lncRNA from 1 species
GCCUCAGGCAGGAUCAGGGGUCACAGCCACACCUGCAGGACUGAGCAGGUGAAAACAAGUCAGGCUGUGAAAGAAAUCCCCCUUUUCUAAACUUUGCCUUGGAGUCCAUGACCUGAUGGGACAGGACUCAGACCUGGGGCAGGGAGGUCUGGGUUUUCCUCCAACCCUGUCACCUUUGUGAAGCUGAUUCUUUUCUGUGCCUCAGUGGCCUUGUCCGCAAUGCAGACUAAACCCCCUUUCACAGUCACCUUCCAGAACCCGAGUACACGUCACAAGCUCCCAGGCAUCCACAGGGGCACUGCACUUCACAGUUGAUGGAAAUGCUUCUCCUCCCUCAUCUCUGAGGAAAUGAAGGUCUGAUGGGAUUGAAAGCCAUCUACAGGUGGCCUUGCCACUUCUAAAUGAAAAAGGCGAAAAGUGGGAAGUUGCAUUCAGCGUGUGUUUUGCACGAAUGGUUGUAGAGGCAGCAAGAUGGGCCCGGCCAACUUCUUUCCUGGAACCACUCAGCAUCUCAGCAUCUCCACAUCUCAGCACCUCCGAAUCUCAGCAUCCAGCUCGAGCUGUGAACCACAUCUGUGGUGCAUCUGUGCUUUAUCUGGUUUAUUUCAUGGACCUAAGAGGAAACCGAAAGGUCACAGAUGGAGGGAGCACACCGUCCCGGGUGACACAGACACAUCCAGUGACCUGAAGUAACUUGGGCAAUGCAGUAACUCGGAAGCCGUUUCCACACCUGGAGGGGAAAUGAAAAUAAUCAUCCGCAGAGCUGUUCAGUCUGAUCACUGGUUCCAUGAGACUUAGACUGGAAAAGUCAACUGACCACACAAAAAG